UACGAAGGGGGCUAGCGUUGCUCGGAAUCAUUGGGCGUAAAGCGGACGUAGGUGGCUUUGUAAGUCAGGCGUGAAAGCCCUGGGCUCAACCCAGGAAGUGCGCUUGAUACUGCUUAGCUUGAGUGUAGGAGAGGUAAGUGGAAUACCUGGUGUAGUGGUGAAAUACGUAGAUAUCAGGUGGAACACCUGAGGCGAAGGCGGGCUACUGGGCCGAUACUGACGCUGAUGCGCGAAAGCCAGGGGAGCGAACGGG
rnacentral:rRNA from 1 species